GCCAGGCAUGGUGGUGCACGCCUGUAAUCCCAGUGACUCAGGAGGCUGAGGCAGGAGAAUCUCAAGUUCAAAGCCAGCCUCAG
rnacentral:sRNA from 1 species